UUCUUCAGAAUUGUCUAGAAAAAGCUAUUUAGAGACAUUAAGAGUGGGAAAAUCUAUCGAUAUUUUAUGCUUUUUAUGUCAAGUAGGUGACAUAUCAAGUGAUUCACCCUCCACUAUUCCUACACCACUAUCAAGUUCUGAUAAUAUUAAAAGUUUGCUGGAUUUGCCAACACCAGAAAAAGCUACGACUGACCCAUCUACAAACACUUCCUUUCCAUCAAAACGUAGGAAAACUGUGCACAGAUGUGUUGUCUCAAGGCAUCCAAGAGAUGUCACCGAGACCACAGAAAAAAGGGUGGCAAGGUUGAGAUCACAGAGAAUGGAUGGAUUGAAGAUGUUAAUAUCACAGCUGGAUGAUAAAAAAAGAUUGGAAUUGUUGGCUGUCAUAAUAGAGAGACAAUUUAACCAGGCUUGAAAUUUGCGACUGUUUGAUUAUUGCAGCUAGAGACACACAAUUCACGUCUACACCACCAGCGACAAAAAAUCUAUAAGACCAGAAAUUGAUGAGUAUUGUUUAGAUGAGGGGGUUUAGAUCGCAUUACAAACAAGAGAUGACAUUUUGUUAGGGUGCCAGAUGACGACGAACAGAAAAGGUUUUGCCAUGCUGUCUACCAUCGGUUUUGGAGGCACGGUCGACUUGGAAGAGAUAAUCACAUAAGUUACAUCAAACUGUAUAGUCUGCAAAGUAAAAAGGGGGUAUCCUGACAAAUGGGCAUAACAAUGAAUGAAGAAGCACUGUUCAAAAGACCUACCCAAAUUAUCAAACAAAACAUGCUUUUCUAUUAGUUAAAGUUACAUUAUGGAAGAUUAGAUAAAGAGCUAGCAGUUCUCACUAUAAUAAUUAUAACUAGAUGAUGUAAAUGGAAUAUGCUGAGAAUUUCAGUUAAAUUGCUUCACUAUAAGCCGAGAAAACCUCAGUUUAAAAAUGACUGUAGCCUCGAUUGUCAUUGUUAUUGCUGUCACGAUAAUAAACAUAUCUGAAAAAUAAACAAAUUAAAAAGGUUAAUGGAAAUGGGCAUAUGUCAUGCAGUGUUAUAUGAGGGAAAUUGUCCGAACUGCACAAAUUUCAAUUGUCAAGAGAACUUAUCAUGCUGCUAAUGGUAUACACAUCCCCCACCCCCCUCUUUUAUUGCUGAUCUUAGAAAACCAGGAUUGAUAAUGUAGAAAAACUUUCUUGGACCCCAAGGUUCGUGAGCCAGCUCCAAAAUCACAGUUUGAUUGUACCGAGAUGAGACACAAUAAUUUGACGUUUUCUCGUAUAUUAUAAACAAAUUUGAUCCAUGGUUAAAAUUGACCAAUUAGUUUCUUAUAUGAUUGUGGGACGGAUCAUUUAUUAGAUAUUGUUGAAUGUUAUUACAUAAGUAAGGGGAAAACUAACAUAAUGUUUCUGUCAGCUCCUUUUAGUGGUUCUCGAUUUGUAUGCAAAUUAAAAUUAACUGCUACCAACAAACCUUUUACAUGGUAAACCAGUGGACUGCAAAAUAAUGUCAAAUAAAUUAUUAUUGUUGGUGUGGAACAUCUUUCAUUAAAUUUAAAAGAGUACUUUUUAAAGAAGGAAUGUGAAAAAAGAGGGUUUAAUGUCCACUUAACACAAACUAGGUCUAACUAGGACUUAAAAUACAUGGUUCAAUUUUAUUUCAAUAAUUCGCUUAUGCAUAGGUUUUUAGUGCAAUCACACAACUGGACUCAAUGACAGUCUAAUUCAACGCAAGAGAGUAGGCCAUAGUGCUGCUGCUCAGGCAAAAUUUCCCUCAUAGCACACUGUAUGGCAUAUGCUGGACUUCAUCAGUAGGAUGUUAACCGCCCAUUUCAUUUCUGAUCCUUAACCAUUCGGCCGCCCAGACGAACUUGAAAAUCAUAACUACUAGGCCUAGUUUGAACUACAAUUGCAGGUCUGUAUUGGUUGUAAUUACCUGGAACUUUUUACUGGAAUGGAAUGACUCAAUAUAUUUCCUGUGUUCCUGUAAAAUA